AUCCUUGACUUCUCCGAGUAUCACCACGGUUGACGUGCUCUGCCCAGGACUACCUGAAGAAAAACACAAAGAAAGACAUUGAACAGGCUUUCAAAAUGCUGGUGACAAUGCUAACAACCAUGUACAUGUUGGUGAGAGUGGCUGAACAGCUGGGUGUUCGGUGGUUACGUCAACAGGAGCCUCUUCCGUAUGUGGUGUCUCAGCCCCUGCCGUGGCAGGUCCACAGUGUCUCCCAUUCUCGGAAAGGAAGUCGUUCAGAGGAGUUUGAGGGCCAGAGAAGGAACAGCAUAGGAGUUUACAGAAAGCACUCUUCAUCCAGUAAUGGACACACCGGAAACUCUGCCGAGAAGGCGGCGUCUACAAUUCAGAACCAGUACAGGAAGUACCAGCAGAAGAAGCAUAAAGACCACAAAUGAAAGGUCAACCAGGCUAAACUGUCAGCAUUUGAAGUGUCCAUUCCACUCUGAUCAAGACCCAGUAUUCUCUUGUCUGAACCUUAUAACCCCAACAACUGUUCACACGCAAAACUGGUCUCCAUCAAUGUUAAAAGACGACUUCUGUGAGCAACACAGUCACAUGUUCUGAUUUACAGAUAGCUGACACCUGCACAAACACAAACGUUCAGACAAUGACAAACAUUUCAGACCAUUUGCUGAUAAAAGACGCCACAAACUUCAGACACAAACACUCAGAAGAUCUUUAAGAUAAAUGCGGACAAUAUGUUCACAAAACAUGCAGAUUACAUGCAUAAUAUAAAGUAGAAUAUCACAGGAAUGUACAUGAGGACAAACCAUAGGCUUCUUUCAUUUGUAUAAAAAGAUAAUUAUAUUUACUUUAGACUAACCUUAAAAAACUCUUAUUAAGAUUAAAUGAAAAUAUAUUUAGUUUUAUUUUUCUAAUUGAGGAUGCCCUUGAAUGCAGAGUUGGAAGGGUUACUUUAAAAAUGUAUUCUGUUACAGUUACAAAUGACUUCAUGAAAAAAGUAUUCAGUUACGUAAUCCAAUAUGAAAGUAAUGUAAUUUGAUUACUUUUGCAUUCCUUCAUAGUCACAAAUGUAAAUAAAGUCAUGUAAAAUGCAAUGUCAUCAAAAUACUUUUAAUUAUUAACGAUUUGAUGCAAAUAUAAAAUAU